rnacentral:misc_RNA from 1 species
CAGGUAAGAUGUAUGUGAUGAAGUUGAAAUGGCGGGGAAGCUAUUACAAUCUGAUUGGUAAGUGGGGCAGAGUUGUACGAGGGAAAGGACUUGAUGUAGGGCAAGAGAUUAAAAUACGUUGGGAAAAUGGAUGCUUCUACUUCUCGGUCCCAAAGCAGCAGAUUGUUGCAGUCCCACCAAUUCGGAUGGUUGCAGCACCGGUAGUGCAAGACCAUUGGCCCAUUAAGAAGAUCUUGACGCUCUCUGAUGUGGACACCAAUCAUCCAUUUCUCCCUCUGCCCCGUCGAUUAGUUGAGGAUCAUAUCCUUGUGCAUUGGACACCUCAGCAACAAGAACUGCUGAGGAAGGAGGAGCAUGUGAAUGUAAAUGCCCGAGAUUAUGAUACUGGCGAAGG